rnacentral:rRNA from 1 species
GAUGAACGCUGGCGGCGUGCUUAACACAUGCAAGUCGAACGGGAAUUACUUUAUUGAAACUUCGGUCGAUUUAAUUUAAUUCUAGUGGCGGACGGGUGAGUAACGCGUGGGUAACCUGCCUUAUACAGGGGGAUAACAGUCAGAAAUGGCUGCUAAUACCGCAUAAGCGCACAGAGCUGCAUGGCUCAGUGUGAAAAACUCCGGUGGUAUAAGAUGGACCCGCGUUGGAUUAGCUAGUUGGUGGGGUAACGGCCCACCAAGGCGACGAUCCAUAGCCGGCCUGAGAGGGUGAACGGCCACAUUGGGACUGAGACACGGCCCAGACUCCUACGGGAGGCAGCAGUGGGGAAUAUUGCACAAUGGGGGAAACCCUGAUGCAGCGACGCCGCGUGAAGGAAGAAGUAUCUCGGUAUGUAAACUUCUAUCAGCAGGGAAGAUAGUGACGGUAGCCAAGGAGGAAGCCCCGGCUAACUACGUGCCAGCAGCCGCCGUAA